GAUGAACGCUGGCGGCGGGCCUAAUACAUGCAAGUCGAGCGAACGGACGAGAAGCUUUCUUUUCUGAUGUUAGCGGCGGACGGGUGAGUAACACGUGGAUAACCGACCGAUAAGACUGGGAUAACUGCGGGAAACCGGAGCUAAUACCGGGUAAUAUUUUGAACCGCAUGGUUCAAAAGUGAAAGACGGUCUUGCUGUCACUUAUAGAUGGAUCCGCGCUGCAUUAGCUAGUUGGUAAGGUAACGGCUUACCAAGGCAACGAUGCAUAGCCGACCUGAGAGGGUGAUCGGCCACCCGGGAACUGAGACACGGUCCAGACUCCACAGAGAGGCAGCAGUAGGGAAUCUUCCGCAACGGGCGAAAGCCUGACGGAGCAACGCCGCGUGAGUGAUGAAGGUCUUCGGAUCGUAAAACUCUGUUAUUAGGGAAGAACAUAUGUGUAAGUAACUGUGCACAUCUUGACGGUAACCAAUCAGAAAGCCACGGCUAACUCCGUG
rnacentral:rRNA from 1 species